rnacentral:lncRNA from 1 species
AUGGCUUCUGAGAAUUCUUCUCCACCAGCAGACAGGAUGAAAAAAAAUAUUAGCAAUGAUCGGAUUCUAUGCUAUCACGCCGGUAUUUAUGUGCCAUUAUUGAUAGGAAUGCUGCUUGUUUGGAAUCUGGAAGGUAAACAGAGUUUCAAAUUCCAACCCUCUAUUGUGGAAAGUAAUAACCCUGCAGCAUGGCCAUGCAAAUUAAGGAACUCUGAAACCCCAAACCUCCAAUCACAGCACCGGGCACACCAACAUUCCAAACACGCCUCUCUCCCCAAAGAGAGCCUGGCUCAUGCCACGGAAUCUUUUCAGAGCCAGCAUCAAAGGCUGCGUGAGGCCCAGUAUGUGGGACAUCUCAUUGCAGCCCAAGUCCCAACGUGGGGUGAGGGAAGUGCUGUGCCAAUUUAUGUUCUGCCCAGAAGUGGGAGGAAUCUAAUCUUCAUAUAGGAAGGAUCUUGCAAACCAGAGGACUAGAGAAGCACUGCUCAUAGGUAUGCACAUGCAGCAACCAUUCUCCCAAGGACUUCCUGAGCAAUAUGAAGGGUGAGUCUUCUGGAAGUUCAGAGGAGAACUCCUGGGCACCUAGAGAGGUCUGGAAAGAUAUCUUUGUGAGAAAGAUAGGGCUUUAGCUAAGGAGGUGGACAUGGGAUAUGAGGUGGCAGGGAAGGCACGCUGGGUGGAGGAGAUAGCCAGGUACAGAGAAAAGAGGAGACAACAAGAUAGUAAUAGGAGGAAAAGCUACUGGAAGAAACAGUCACAGGAAAGAAUGAAUGUUCCAUAGUCCCAACCCUCCACAGAGGUGAGCCAGAGGAGGAUAAGAAACAGGACCCUGUUGGUUUUAAGAGUAUAUUUGGUCUCUCAGUAGUGGAAGGAAGCUACGCUGUACCUGAGAGGAAAGAGGGAGUGGGGGCUUGCACAGAGGGCUCCCGGUGGGUGGUCUUUAGAAGGACAAAGCCGCCCAGACACUAGACAACUACAGAGCAACCUAGAAUCCCAUAAGCUGCCCUAGUGUGUGGCAGGCAUCCCCCCACUUUCACAAUGGCUUUGAUGGCCCAGGCCCCAGGAACGCCAAGACUAGGCUGGCAGCAGCAAAGCCAAUGCCAGGAAUAACUGAAACUGUGCAUGCCUCUCAAAAGCUUGGUGGGCCUCUGGCUCCCGUCUGGCUGGGCCACGUCUGGAGCUCACAUUAUCACGAUUACGUGUCCGACACUGUGUUAAGUGCUUAACACACAUUCUGCCAUUUAGUCCUUAUGGUCAGCCUCCAAGACAAAGUGUUCCCAUUCAACAGAUGAAAACACUGAGGGUACAGAAGUCCAGCAAUUUAGUGCAGGUUAAAUACAAACUGAAGGUGGAAUUCAAACUUAAGUCUGCCUCUAAAACCCUUUCUCCUACUCUUUUCACUCUCCACUGUUACUGACUAUCCCUUAAAAUGAUGGUCAGAUUCAUUUAGU